rnacentral:lncRNA from 1 species
GUUCGGCGGGUGAGGGGGAGCUGCUGGCGCCGUUUCCGAGCCUCACGCACCGUGAGGACUCUGAGGGACCGAUUUACCCGCACAUCCCCCACGAGGAGCUCGGUACCCUGCGGGUGCCACGGCCUUGGGGCACCGCCUCGCUGCCUGGCACGAAGGGAGGGGCUGUAUAAACCUUUUCUGGUUUAUACAAGCCCACGUUCAAGUGCCAUGAAACGCUUCCUAAUCCCAAAUCGUUAAAUCCACACCUUAACCUUCAAUGUAUCACCCGGUAAAUUUGAGUGACCCUGAUGAGGACAGAGCCCUGCCAGCCCUGGUACUUUGGGCACAGAUGGAUUUUGGCAGCGUUUCUACCUCAGGGACCGGCACCGGCCAGAGACCAUCGCUCCCUGAGCUUCCCCUGAGCUCAGACUGAACAGAAAUAAUCCUUCACCUUCCUCAAAUCUCCUCUCCCCUCUGGGGAAACCUCACACAGCAGGCUGCCUCGUUGCCCUGUGCACACAGAUCCACGUGAAUGGUGCGGGGCAGGACCCCGGGAACAGGAAAAUUCAAAUCAAAGUGGGAAUCAAAGGCAAAUCCCUGCUGCUCCUGACCAUGCCAGGAUCUGCCUGGGCUCAGGAUCCUGUUCCUACACACAGGACACUGAUUAAAGCUCUGCUCUUCCCCUCAGCUGGCCAGGACAGGCUGCAAACACAGCUCAGUGUCAUCAUUCCACUGCCAAUAACACAUGAGCUCGGAGGAAGCCUCUCAGCUCCAGCUUUUUAUAUCCAAACUCUUCCUGGCUGAGCAAUCUCAACCUGCUAUUGAUCCAGAUGACGCAUUUGAUUCCUAUAAUUGAGAUUGGAAUUAAAAAAAAGGAAAGAAAAAGAAGCCUUUCUAUUUCUUGCAGCGAGUUUGUUUCUCACGUUUGACAGCUCGGAGCGUGCAGCACUCGGGCUUUUGUCGUGAUUGAAGUGAAGGAAUUUUUUAAAGCUGUUUCAGCCCAAAAGUCACUGAGGAUGGAAGAAAAAUAUCUGGGUGUUCUCUCAGCCAUGGGCUGUGGAAGCUCAGGCAGCUGCUGAAGUCGUUUUUUGGGGGAUCAUGGAAUGGUUUGGGUGGGAAGGGAACUAAAAAUCACCUCGUUCCUGGGACACCUUCCCCCAUCCUGGGACACUCCAGGGGCCUCCCCACCCUCCCAGGGAAGGAUUUCUCCCUAAUAUUUCAUCUAAUCCCCCUCGCUCUGAGCUUUAACCCAUUCCCCCUUGUCCUGCCAAGCAGGAAUUUGGAAAUAAUAAACCAGAAUUAAACCCGUGGCCA